CCUACGGGAGGCAGCAGUCGGGAAUAUUGCCCAAUGGACGCAAGUCUGAGGCAGCAACGCCGCGUGCGCGAUGAAGGCCUUCGGGUCGUAAAGCGCUUUUCGGGCGGAUGAGGAAGGACAGUACGCCCGGAAGAAGGGCCGGCUAACUACGUGCCAGCAGCCGCGGUAAAACGUAGGGCCCGAGCGUUAUCCGGAUUUACUGGGCGUAAAGCGCGUUGAGGCGGCGUGGCAAGUCGGGCAUGAAAUCUCUCGGCUCAACCGGGAGGGGCUGUCCGAUACUGCUGGGCUUGAGGGUCGGAGAGGGUGGUGGAAUUCCGGGUGUAGUGGUGAAAUGCGUAGAGAUCCGGAGGAACACCAGUGGCGAAAGCGGCCACCUGGCCGACGCCUGACGCUGUGGCGCGAAAGCUAGGGGAGCGAACGGGAUUAGAUACCCUUGUAGU
rnacentral:rRNA from 1 species